rnacentral:misc_RNA from 1 species
GUCGGGUGGCGGCUCCUCUUGAGCAGGCACGGCACGCGUGCAUUCCUUUUCAGCUAUGCGGCAAGGCUUGUAUCGUCUUGAUCGUGUAAGUGGGUUUCCUGUGUUGCAUACCUGAUCAAUGGCAUCGUUUUGAUCCAAAGCUUACGUUUUUCGUUUGGCGUUGCAAUUGCAUCGUCAGGUGAACCGUGUAGCAUCUUCUUCGAUCCAUUCAGUUGACGUGCAUUCGUUGAUUGUUUGGCUUGAUGAUGAUGGCUUGGUCUCUUGAAUAUGGAAGCCAAAGUGGGCAUGGGUUUGCAAGAACCUUUAUGUCCUCAUUGAGCGUUCUCGCUUCUCUUACACGACCGCCUUUCACGUAUGGCUCGUCCCAGCGUGCUUGGCUACGUCGAAGAGGAAUGCUACCUGGUUGAUCCUGCCAG